rnacentral:sRNA from 1 species
GCCGGGUGUGGUGGCGCAUGCUUGUAAUCCCAGUGACUCAGGAGGCUGAGGCAGGAGGUCCAAAGUUUGAGACCAGACUGGGCACUUAUUGAGACCAUGUCUCAA